AUUGAACGCUGGCGGCAUGCCUUACACAUGCAAGUCGAACGGUAACGGGCCUUCGGGUGCCGACGAGUGGCGAGCGGGUGAGUAAUACAUCGGAACGUGCCCGAUCGUGGGGGAUAACGAGGCGAAAGCUUUGCUAAUACCGCAUACGAUCUACGGAUGAAAGCAGGGGACCGCAAGGCCUUGCGCGGACGGAGCGGCCGAUGGCAGAUUAGGUAGUUGGUGGGAUAAAAGCUUACCAAGCCGACGAUCUGUAGCUGGUCUGAGAGGAUGAUCAGCCACACUGGGACUGAGACACGGCCCAGACUCCUACGGGAGGCAACAGUGGGGAAUUUUGGACAAUGGGCGCAAGCCUGAUCCAGCCAUGCCGCGUGCAGGAUGAAGGCCUUCGGGUUGUAAACUGCUUUUGUACGGAACGAAAAGCCUUCUUUUAAUACAGGAGGGUCAUGACGGUACCGUAAGAAUAAGCACCGGCUAACUACGUG
rnacentral:rRNA from 1 species